GGAACUGUAGCCUAAUGGAUAAGGCGUCGGACUUCGGUUCCGAAGAUUGCAGGUUCGAGACCUGUCAGGGUCG
rnacentral:tRNA from 1 species